rnacentral:rRNA from 1 species
AGGGCACCACCAGGAGUGGAGCCUGCGGCUUAAUUUGACUCAACACGGGAAAACUCACCCGGCCCGGACACUGGAAGGAUUGACAGAUUGAGAGCUCUUUCUUGAUUCAGUGGGUGGUGGUGCAUGGCCGUUCUUAGUUGGUGGAGCGAUCUGUCUGGUUAAUUCCGAUAACGAACGAGACUCUAGCCUAUUAAAUAGACGUCGGGUUCUCUGCACUCGACGGUCUUCUUAGAGGGACAAGGUGCUUUUAGCACCGCGAAACAGAGCAAUAACAGGUCUGUGAUGCCCUUAGAUGUCCGGGGCCGCACGCGCGCUACACUGAAGGAAGCAGCGUGUAACAACCUUGUUCUAACGAACUGGGUAACCCGUGGAACUUCCUUCAUGAUUGGGAUAGGGGUUUGCAAUUGUGCCCCUUGAACGAGGAAUUCCCAGUAAACACUAGUCAUCAGCUAGUGCUGAUUACGUCCCUGCCCUUUGUACACACCGCCCGUCGCUACUACCGAUUGAAUUAUUUAGUGA